GGGUUGCCAAGCCGCGAGGUGGAGCUAAUCCCAUAAAACCGAUCGUAGUCCGGAUCGCAGUCUGCAACUCGACUGCGUGAAGUCGGAAUCGCUAGUAAUCGUGAAUCACAAUGUCACGGUGAAUACGUUCCCGGGCCUUGUACACACCGCCCGUCACACCAUGGGAGUGGGUUGCUCCAGAAGUAGCUAGUCUAACCGCAAGGGGGACGGUUACCACGGAGUGAUUCAUGACUGGGGUGAAGUCGUAACAAGGUAGCCGUAGGGGAACGUGCGGUUGGAUCACCUCCAU
rnacentral:rRNA from 1 species